rnacentral:rRNA from 1 species
UUUAUUGGAGAGUUUGAUCCUGGCUCAGGACGAACGCUGGCGGCGUGCCUAAUACAUGCAAGUCGAGCGAGGGUUUUCGAACCCUAGCGGCGGACGGGUGAGUAACACGUAGGCAACCUGCCUCUCAGACCGGGAUAACAUAGGGAAACUUAUGCUAAUACCGGAUAGGUUUUUGGAUCGCAUGAUCUGAAAAGGAAAGAUGGCGUUUGCUAUCACUGGGAGAUGGGCCUGCGGCGCAUUAGCUAGUUGGUGGGGUAACGGCCUACCAAGGCGACGAUGCGUAGCCGACCUGAGAGGGUGACCGGCCACACUGGGACUGAGACACGGCCCAGACUCCUACGGGAGGCAGCAGUAGGGAAUUUUCCACAAUGGACGAAAGUCUGAUGGAGCAACGCCGCGUGAACGAUGAAGGUCUUCGGAU